UUGCAACACAACAGAAUUAUGAAUAAUGUCUACCCCAUUAAUAGUAGCACGACAUAAUGUAACUCUGCCUCUUUCUUUACGCUUGACUAUGAUGUAAUAUAACAAACGAACGAGUUCCACCUGGUCAUUAUUACCAUAGGGUGUUCAAUGAUGGAUUGUGGGAUAUUACUUAUGAAGGUUCCACGAAGACAGAAAGACGUUUUCUUAUGUAAUCAGGCCAAGCAUAAGAGACAAGGAAUGAUCUUAUUCAUGCACAGGCAGACUCGUGAGUUAAUCCUGGAGUAAAGUACAAAAUAUCGGCAUGGGUGAGUAGGAAGAGGUAACGCAUCAUGACUUUGCUUUUAUGUCGUGUUCAUUUCUCUGAAUGUUUAAAAUAUUUAAGCUAAAAGAUCGAAGAAUAGAAAACGAGGAGUACAAUAUGGAGAAAUGUCAUGAUCUGGUUGAUGAAGAUAGGAAGAGGUGACAGCAGAUACAGCAAAAGAAGUACUUACAUUUUGAAUCUCAGCAUGGUGUGACAUCUACUUUAUCUGCAGAUUUCUACUCAUCUUCAAAGACUUCUAAGUGUAUCUGUGCAGGAUUGCACGGAGUAAUACAAACCCGACCUAAGAAUUCCGCCAUUUUCUCGCCAGGCUCUCAUUUGCUGUAAGAAAGCAGAGUUAAUAACAGAUAGAUCACGGCAGACGAUUCUAAUGAUGUCUUAAUAGACAAUACUCACGAACCUUUCAUAUGGACUCCCACAAAAACAAAUAAUCUAUACAAAAAUAAAGGAAGGAAUUCUUCUCUUUCUUCAAUUAUUAUGAAGGCCGUGACGUCACAAUCUCGGUUUUGUCUGGUAUAUUUAAUCCUCAACGAAAACUUAAAUAGAAAGAUCAAAAUUUUUCUCCCUCUCUGGUGAGUCAGACAGGUAUUUAGCGCUAAUAAAAAGAAGCCUUUAUUUUUUAAAAUUACCUGUUGGAUUUUAUUUGGGAAGAAUAGGUGGGUUUUUUUUAUUAUAUAUGUUUGUUCAGCAGCAUGUGUGUCAAUUAUGGAUACAAACAAAUAUAAGAGUAUUGUUCGUGCAGUAGUAUUUGUGUUAACAAUAAAUUACAUUUGCUUUUCGUUUUAA